ACAUACGACCAUACCCACUGGAGAACUCGGGAUCCCGUCCGCUCUCCCAUAGAUAAGCCAGUGAGGGCCAGAUUAGUAGUUGGGUCGGUGACGACCAGCGAAUACCUGGUGUUGUAUGUU
rnacentral:rRNA from 2 species